GUAUUUAACCUAUUUCCUGCCAGGUGAAAUUGUUUCCUCUCUGAACUUGCAGAUUAGAUCCCAAGCACAUUCCUUGACAAGGGAUCUUGCUCAGUAAUGGAAAAUGCCUACAAGAGACCCCCUGAUGAAAAAGACUAUGCUUAGCAAUGGAAUUUACUGCCCACAUUACUUAUGGGUUCACCUGUUUACAAGGGAGUAAAUGAUGUACGUAAAGAUAUGUGCGUGAGAUUUCUGUGCUUCAUACAUCCAGAGAAACCAAACUCCAGUUUGCUGAGAGCUUUUCAGCACAUAAACAAUCUCCAUGGCAAAGAUUCUUAUGCAAUGUAUGAGAUACAUGUAAAAAUACAUCAAAUGUGA
rnacentral:lncRNA from 12 species